rnacentral:rRNA from 1 species
GAUUAAGUUAUUAAGGGCGCACGGUGGAUGCCUUGGCACUAGAAGCCGAUGAAGGACGUUACUAACGACGAUAUGCUUUGGGGAGCUGUAAGUAAGCUUUGAUCCAGAGAUUUCCGAAUGGGGAAACCCAGCAUGAGUUAUGUCAUGUUAUCGAUAUGU